UACUUCCCAUGUUUUAAGCUAUUAACAGCUUUUCAACAAGAGAAGCCAAGAUGGUGAAGAAGCUGUGUGCCAAAAUCUCACAUUUAUCCCAUGUUGAACUGGUGAAUGUCGAUAAAAUUUUCCACACAUGAUGGCAGGCACAUAGGAGUCUCAUAAAUACAGAAGAAGCCUUUUAUCAUCUGCUCCAAGUUUUUCACUUCUCUGUAGUCUGAGGAAAUGUCUCAGCCUCGGAUUUCAGUUCUGGGAUAUAACUUGUGAUAAUAUUGGUGCUGGAUAUAUUACUGAGGUUCUAUGGGGGUGAGUAAAACCAGAGUGUUUUUACUCUGAGAUUUUGGUGACCCAUUAUGUUCUUGAUGUCACACCUUACAUAUAUUUAUAUCACAUAUGGCUAAACAAAUUGUUGUAAUUAUUAAUAGUUUUGUAGAUGGACAUCAUGGCAGGUGCCCAUAAUACCGUCUAAUCAGAAGGCUGAGGGGGGAAAAUUGCUUGAGCCCAGAAGUUUCAGACCAGCCUGAGCAACAUAGCAACAGCCAUCUCAUUAAAAAAGUUUUGUGUAUUAACCUUAACAAUAAAGAUAUACGUUAUUUGUACACCACCAUUACAGUAUACCAGUACUGUGAAUUUGAGUUACUUACCUUUUACCAGUCAGUUUUAUACAUUCAUGUUUUUGUGUUAUGCAUGAGCUGCUUCUUUCAAUUUGAAGAAUUCCCUAUAACAUUUCACUUGUUUUAAUGAAUAAUGAGAUAAAAAAGGUUAAGUCUUCAAUAUCUGUGGAUCCGUUAAUAUUUUCAGUUUAUUUUCCAGAUAUAUUAAAAUUCUGUAUAGUUCCAUCCAAAUAUUGGAAUUUAGGAAUCAUCCCAGAUAAUUUUCCCUGUCCUUUAUUUCUCUGUUCCACCCUUCCUUUGGUAAGUGUUCACAUUAUUUAUCAUUUUUCUUUCUCUUGCUUAUAAGCUGUUACUCUCCUGUAUUAAAACCAUUCUUCUAGUUGCUUUACAUAUUUACAUAUUAUGUUAAAAUAAAGACUCACAAAAUGCUGCAAAUAUAGUACCGUUUACACAUACCACUCAAUUUUCCCCAGUGGUGAUAUUUUCCAUUAACAUUGUACAAUAUCACAACCAGCACAUUGUCAUUGGUGAAAUGUGCACAUUUACAUGACAUUUUAUCACAUGUAUACAUUUUUGUAACCACUGCAUGAAUCAGAAUGCAGAACUCAUCCAUCAUUAAAAACGUAUCCCUUCCACUAGUCUUAUAAUCACAUACAACCCUAACUUCUACCAUCCCUAACAGAUGAAUACGAACAAUGUUCUCUAAACUAUUUAACUUCAUCACAUUAAGAUACAUAAAAAUAAGCAUUAUGUUACAACUUGAAAUGGGUUUUUCCUUCAGAAUUGAGAAUCAUCUAAGGCUUAUUUGUAUAGUAGUAGUUUAUUCCUUUUAAUUUUUGAGUUGUAUUACACAAUACGGAAAUAACAGACUUAUUUAACUGUUUACCUGGUGAAUAACAUGUGAGUUGUUUCCAGGUUCUGACUAUUACAAAUAAAAUUUCUGUGAACAGUCAAGUGCAGGUUUGGUCUACACAUAAAUUUUCAUUUCUAUGAAAUAGGCCAUGACAGCAAUUGCUAAGCCUAACUAACUGUAUGUGUGUGUUUAGCUUUAAAAGAAAUUGCCAAAUUAUUUUCCAAUGUGGUAUACAGUUUUAUAUUCCCAUCAGCAAUAAAGAUUCAAUUUUUUCUGCAUGCUUCUCAGCCUUUGGAAUCAUUAUGUUUUAACUAUUUCAGCUACUGAAAUAAAUCUGCUGUAGGCCAGGUGUGGUGGCUCACACCUCUUAAUUCCAGCACUUUGGGAGGCUGAGGCAGGUGGGUCACCUGAGGUCAGGAGUUUGAGACCAGCUUGGCCAACAUGGAGAAACCCCGUCUCUACUAAAAAUACAAAAAAAAAAAAAAAAAAAAAAAUUAGCUGGGCGUGGUGGCAGGCGCCUGUAAUCCCAGCUACUUGGGAGGCUGAGGCAGGAGAAUCGCUGGAACCCGGGAGGUGGAGGUUGCAGUGAGCUGAGAUCAUGCCACUGCACUCCAGCCUCGGUGACAGAGGCAGACUCCGCCUCAAAGAAAAAUAAAUCUUCUGUAAUAUCUCAUCAUAGUAUUAAUUUCCAUCAUGUCCUUAUUGACAUUUCCCUAUCCUCAGGGGAAUGUUCUUUCAUGACUUUUGCCCAUUUUCUAAUUUAAAGCUUUGGAUUUUUAAUACUAUCUUUUGAGAAUUAUGUAAAUAUUCUAGCCAUAAGUCCAAUGUUGGAUAUGAGAUUUGAAAACAAAGGGCCGGGCAUGGUGGCUCACACCUAUAAUCCCAGUACUUUGGGAGGCAGAGGCGAGCAGAUUACCUGAGGUCGGGAAUUCGAGACCACCUACCAAAGUGCUGGGAUUACAGGCGUGAGCCACCGCACCUAGCGAUGCUUAAAUCUUCUAGUCCACAAAUAUGAGAUGUCUUUCCACAUAUGUAGAUAUUCCUCAACUCCUCUGACAAAUAUUUUGUGUUAUUCACAGUUCAUGCUGAAUUUCACUUUAUCCCACAGUAUUUUGCCUUAAUAAUAUUGUAAAUAAAAAUGUUUCAAUGAUGUCACUUUUGACUUCUUUAAUAAUAUAUAGAAAUACAACUGAUUUUUGGAUUGUAAUCUUAAAUCACAAAAACUUGCUGAGAUGAUCUUGUUAUUGGAAUCCAAAUUUAUUGGAUCCACUGGGGUUGUGUAUGUACAAAACCAUGUCAUCUGCAAAAGGUUUUGCUGCUUCCUAUUUAAAAAAUUUUAUUUCCUUCCAUAUGCAAUGCAAUUAAUGUCACAGAUACUUCCAGUACACUGUUGAACAGAACUGGCAAGAAUGUUUUAUCCUGUCCUUGCUCCUCUUCUUACAGAGAAAGCAUUCUUUAAAUACUAAGUGUAACAUUAGUUUUGAGGGUUUUGGGUUUUCUGUUUUGUUUUGCUUUUUAGAGACAGGGUCUCACUCUGUUGUUCAGUCAGGAGUACAGUGGCAUCAUCAUAGCUCAUUGUAAACAUGAACCUCAGCUUCCCAAGUAGCUAGGCGUACAGGCAUGUGUCAUCACAUCUGGAUUUUUUUUUUUUUUUUAAGAUACAGAGUAUCCUUAUAUUGCCUAGGCUGAUCUCAGACUUCUGGCCUCAAGUAAUCCUGCUUUGGCUUCCCCAAGUGCUGGGAUUACAGCCACGGCACCAGGUUCUAGUUGUGAAUUCUUAAAAUAUGCCCUUUACUAGGUUGUGGUUUACUUCUUAGUUUACCAAAUACUUUUUCCACCUUCUAUUUUUUUUUUCUCUCUCUUUUUUUUUAAACAUAGUCUUGCUGUGUCAGCCAGGUCCAAGUGCAGUGGCACAAUCUCCGCUCACUGCAACCUCCACCUCCUGGGUUCAAGUGAUUCUACUGCCUCAGACUCCCGAGUAGCUGGGAUUACAGGCACUUGCCACCAUGCACAGGUAAUUUUAGUAUUUUUAGUAGAGAUGGGGUUUCACCAUGUUGGCCAGGCUGGUCUCGAACUCCUGACCUCAAGUGAUCCGCCCACCUCAGCCUCCCCCAGUGCUAGGAUUACAGGCGUGAGUCACUGAGCCCAGCCCAUGGCUAUUACAAAGUCAAAAACAAACAAACAAACAAACAAAAAAACAGAUUCUGGUGAAGUUACAGAGAAAAAGGAAUGCUUAUACACUGUUGGUAGGAGUAUUAGGAUUACAGGCGUGAGCCUCCACUUCCAGCCGUCCACAAUCUAUUGAGAUGACCAUGUUGUUUUCUUCCUUCAGUCUGUUGCACUAAUCAUUUCCAGCUGAUGAAAUAACGUUGCAUUCCAGGGAUACACUGUACUGGGUACUGGUGUACAUUCCUGUUUAUAUGUUACUGUAUUUGGUUUGCCAAAAUUUACUAGGAAAUUUCACAGAUCCACUCAUAAGCGAUAUUAUCAGAGUUUUCCCUGUGUAUGAUGUUUCACUUUGGUAUCUAGAUAACAAUAGCAUCAUAGAACCAGUAAAAAAUAUUACAUGCUCUUCCAAGUUUUUAAGACAUUUUUAUCGAAUUGGUAAUUUUCAUGUGUUUGGUAUAAUAUACAAAAGAAUACAUUUGAACUGGGAAUUUACAUGUGUGUCAGGGGCAGGGGUGAGAGUUUUUAAAUUACCAAUUUAUUGUCUUCACUUUGUUCUUGAAUGAGUUGUGGUAGUCAGUGUCUUUCUAGGAAUUUGUCUACUUCCACAAAGAUAUUUGUCAAAAUACUAAUCCCUUGUAUGGAAUAAGGUCAUUAGGAACAUCACGUUUUACAUUUCUCAUUUUAAUAAAGCUUUAUUUUAUGAAUAAGUCAACGAAGUGCUGUGUUUCUCAAUUAUUUUUAAUUCUCUAUUUCCACACUAAACUUUAUAUCCUUUCUGCUUUGAUUUUAAUUUGUUCUUUUUUUACUGUAUUUUCUAAAGUUGGAAAGUUAGGUUAGUAAUUUGAAGUACUUCUCAUUUCAUUACAAUGUUCAUAGCUAUUAAUUUCACUGUAAGCGUUGCUUUCACACAUCUCACAGAAUUUGAUAUGUUGUUUCUGUAUUUUCAUUCACCUCAAAGUAUUUUCUGAUUUCCUUAUAAAUUCUCCUUUGACUUGUUGGUUACGUAACUUUUUUUUUUUUUUUUUUUUUUUGACAGUCUUUGUCGCCCAGGCUGCAGUGCAGUGGUGUGAUCUCGGCUCACUGCCACCUCUGCCUCCUAGGCUCAAGUGAUUCUAGUGCCUCAGCCACCCGAGUAGCUGGGACUACAGGCGCACACCACCACAUCUGGCUAAUUUUCUGUAUUUUUAGUAGAGACAGGGUUUCACCAUGUUGGCCAGGCUGGUCUCCAACUCCUGACUUCAAGUGAUCCACCCUCCCCGGCCUCCCAAAGUGCUGGGAUUACAGGUGUGAGCCACCACACUCAGCAUAACUUUUUAAAUUUGCACAAAUAUGUAUAGUUCCUAUCUCUGUGUUAUUUCUAAUUUCAUUAAAUUUUAGUCAUAGAACAUAUUUUGUAUAAUUUCAAUAUUUUUAACCUUCAUUUGGUUUGUUUUGUAUGAUGUUAGUGCAGACAUUCCAGUUUUUUUGUGGUUGCUACUUGGAUAUUUCUAUUUCCAUCCUAUUUCUUUCAACACUUUUGUAUUUUAUAAACUGCCUACAACAGACACCUUAUAGUUUGAUUGUUUUUUAAAUAUCCACUUGGUCAAUCAGACUGGUUUGGAUUGCUUGAUCCAUCAGUACAGCUGGAUUUAAAUUUUCCAUUAUACAUUUUAAAAUUCUAUGUCUAUCUUCUUUUACAGAAUCCCUCCUAUACUACUUUUUAUAAGUUAAUAUUUUCUAAAAUAAUGUAUUAUUAUCUUUAACGAUUUUUCCCUCUAUUAUAUGAAAAUCCUUUUUAGUGGUUGCAGUAGGGCUUUUUUUUAUAAUUGACAAGUAAUAAUUGUAUAUAAUUCCAGGGAACUAUCUGAUGUUUUUGUAUGUAUACAUAGUGUAAUAACUAAAUCAAGCACAUUAACAUAUCCAUAACUUCACCUACUUUUGUUGUGACAACUUUAAUAUCUACUUAUAACAAUUUUAAAAUAUACAGUCAGUGACAAUGGUCACCAUGCUGUGAAAUAUGUCUAAAACUUAUUCCUCCUAACAGAAAAUUGGUACUCUUUGACCAACGUCUUGCCUUUGCCCAUCUCUCCAACACCCACAUCCUGGAAACCAUAACAUCCAACUUUCUACUUGUAUGAGUUAGCCUUUCUUAGAUUCCACAUACAAAUAUAAUGUAGUAUUUGCCUCUCUGUGCCUGUCUUACAACACUUAGCAUAGUAUACUACAGAUUCAUCCAUGUUGUCACAAAUGACAAUUUUCCUUCUUUUCCAAGGAUAAAAAAUAUUCCAAUAUGUAUAUACAACACAUCUUCUAUGUCCAUUCAUCUGUUAUGAAAACUUAAGUCUUUUCCAUUUAUUAGCUUUGUAAAUAAUUUCAAAAUAAGGGAGUGCAAGAUCUCAACAUACUGCUUCAAUUCCUUUGGAUAUAUACCUAAGUAGAGAUUGCUAGAUCAUAUAGUAAUUGUACUUUUAGUUUCUUAAGGAACCACCAUAUAGUUUCCUAAAUUGGCUAUACUAAUUUAUAUUCCCACUAACAGAAUGUUGGGACUUCCUUUUAUCCACAUCCUUGCCAGCACCUGUCUUUCAUCCUUUUAAUAAUAGCCAUUCUAAAAGGUGUAAGGUAAUAUCUUGCAGUUUUGAUUUGCAACUCACUAAUGAUUAGAGAUGUUGAGCAUUUUUUUCAUGUAUCAAUCAAUUGGCCACUCAUGUCUUCCUCUGAAAAAUUUAAGUUGAGGUCCUUUUCCCCCUUUUAAAGACAGUUGUUUUCUUGCUAUUGGGCUUGGGUUUCUUAAUACAUUUUGGAUAUUAGCCCCUUAUCAGAUAUAUGAUUUGAAAAUGGUUUCUCAAAACCCGUGUCUUCAUUCUGUUAACUGUACCCUUUGCAGUGCAGAUGCUUUUUAGUUUGAUGCAACUCAAGUUGUCUGUUGCGGGAAGUCAGGGACCCCAAACGGAGGGACUGGCUGAAGCCAUGGCGGAAGAACGUGGAUCGUGAAGAUUUCAUGGACAUUUAUUAGUUCCCCAAAUUAAUACUUUUAUAAUUUCUUAUGCCUGUCUUUACUGCAAUCUCUAAACAUAAAUUGUGAAGAUUUCAUGGACACUUAUCACUUCCCCAAUCAAUACCCUUGUGAUUUCCUAUGCCUGUUUUAAUCUCUUAAUCCUGUCAUCUCGUAAGCCGAGGAGGACGUAUGUCGCCUCAGGACCCUGUGAUAAUUGUGUUAAGUGCAGAAAUUGUAGAGCAUGUGUGUUUAAACAAUAUGAAAUCUAGGCACCUUGAAAAAAGAACAGGAUAACAGCAAUGUUCAGGGAAUAAGAGAGAUAACCUUAAACUCUGACCGCCGGUGAGCCAGGCGGAACAGAGCCAUAUUUCUCUUCUUUCAAAAGCAAAUGGGAGAAAUAUCGCCGAAUUCUUUUUCUCAGCAAGGAACAUCCCUGAGAAAGAGAAUGUGCCCCUGAGGGUGGGCCUCUAAAAUGGCCCCCUUGGGUGUAGCUGUCUUCUAUGGUCGAGACUGUAGGGAUGAAAUAAGCCCCAGUCUCCCAUAGCGCUCCCAGGCUUAUUAGGACGAGGAAAUUCCCACCUAAUAAAUUUUGGUCAGACAGGUUGCUCUCAAACCCUGUCUCCUGAUAAGAUGUUAUCAAUGACGAUGGUGCCCGAAACUUCAUUAGCAAUUUUAAUUUCAACCCAGUCCUGUGGUCCUGUGAUCUCGCCCUGCCUCCAUUUGCCUUGUGAUAUUCUAUUACCUUGUGAAGCACGUGAUCUCUGUGACCCACCUCCUAUUCGUAUACUCCCUCCCCUUUGAAAAUCCCUAAUAAAAACUUACUGGUUUUACGGCUCAGGGGGCAUCACGGAACCUACCGACAUGUGAUGUCUCCCCAGGAUGCCCAGCUUUAAAAUUUCUCUCUUUUGUACUCUGUCCCUUUAUUUCUCAACCCGGCCAAUGCUUAGGGAAAAUAGAAAAGAACCUAUGUGACUAUCUGGGCAGGUUCCCUGAUAGUUGUCUGGCUGUUUUUGCUGCCCAUGCUUUUAAGGAUGUAUCCAAGAAAUCAUUGCCCAGAACAACAUCAUAGAGCUUUUCCCCUAUAUUUUCUACUAGUAGUUUUACAGUUUCAAAGGCAACAUUUCAGGCUUUAAUCCAUUUUGAGUUGAUUUUUCUAUAUGCUAUGAGAAAAUGGUUCAAUUUCACAUAUAGAUAUACAGAUAUCUCAAAACAAUUUAUUUAUUUAUUUGUCCUCUCCCCAUUCUGUGUGCCACUUUUGUCAAAAAUCAAUUGGAUGGAAAUGUAUGAGUUAUGUCUGGGCUUUCCUGUUCCACUGGUCAGUGAAUCUGUUUUUAUGCUGGUACCACAGUUUUUUGAUAAUGGAUUACAAAAUCAGGUAGAGUGAUGCCUCCAGCUGUGUCCUUGUUGCUCAAGAUUACUUUGAUUAUUUAAUGUCUUUUGUAGUUCCAUACAAGUUUUAGAAUUUUUUUUGUAUUUCUGUAAAAAAAAUAAAAAUAAAAAGGACAUUGAAAUAUUGAUUACACAGAAUCUGUAUGUUUCUUUUGGCAGUAUGAAAAUUAUAACAAUAUAAAUUUCCCAAUCCAUGUACAAAGAAAAAUUUCUAUUUUUGUAAUCUUCAAUUCGUUUCAUCAAUGUUUUCACUAUACAGAUCUUUAACCUACUUGGUUAAAUUCAUUCAUAAGUUUGUUUACUUAGUAAAUAGUGUAAAUGUGAUUAGUUUCCUGAUUACUUUUUUGGAUAGAUUGUUGUUUGUUAGUGUAUAGAAAUGCUACAGACUUAAUUGUCAAUUUUGUACGUAGCACUUUUUAUGGAAUUCAUUUUAUUAGUUCUAUAGUUUUUUUUUUUUUAAUGGAGUCUUUAAGGUUUUCUAGCUAUAAGAUAAGAUAAUCAGGAGAGGCAAGUUUUUUCUUCUUUUCCUACUUAGAUGUCUUUUAUUUCUCUUGCCUAAAUGCUCUUGCUAUGACUUCCAGUACAACACUGAACAGAAGGAGAAAAAAUGGCAUCCAUGUCUUGUUCCUGAUCUUAGAGAAAAAGCCUUCAACUCUUCGGUGUUAAGAUUUCAGCUCUGGGCCGGUCAUAUAGGGCCUUUAAUGUGUUGAGACAUCUUCCUUUUAUACCUAACUUGUUCAGGUUUUUAUCAUGCAAAGAUGUUAAGUAUUGGGCCGGGGACUGUGGCUCAUGCCUGUAAUCCCAGCACUUUGGGAGGUCAAGGAGGGUGGAUCACCUGAGGUUAGGGGUUCAAGACCAACCUAGCCAACAUGGUGAAACCCUGUCUCAACUAAAAAUACAAAAGUUAGCUAGGCAUGGUGGCAGAUGCCUGUAAUCCCAGCUGCUCGGGAGGCUGAGGCAGGAGAACCCAGGAGGCAGAGGUUCAAGCGAUUCUCCUGCCUCAGCCUCCAGAGUAGCUGGCAUUACAGGCACAUACCACCACGCCUGGCUAAUUUUUGUAUUUUUAGUAAAGACGAUGUUGUGCCAUGUUGGCCAGGCUGGUCUCGAACUCCUGACCUCAGGUGAUGUGCCUGCCUCGGCCUCCCAAACUGCUAGGAUUACAGGCGUGAGCCACCGCACCCAGCCAACUAUGUACUUACUUUUAUCAGCGAGUUUUAUACUCACGUUUUCAUGUUUCUAAUUAGCACUCUUUUACUACAGCUUGAAGGACUCCCUUUAGCAAUUCUUCCCGUGCAGGUCUAGUGGUGGUAAACUCCCACAUCUUUUGUUUGAGAACUUUAUAUUUCUCCUUAAUUUUUGAAACACAGGAUAGUUGGAGAUAGUAUUCCUGGAUGGCAGUGUUUUCCUUUCAGCUUUUUGUAUAUAUCACGACUGCCUUCUGGCGUGAAAGUUUUCUGGUGAAGUCUGCUGACAGUCUUCCGUGGAUCAUUUUGUAUGUAAGAAGAGACUAUUCCCUUGCUGCUCUGAAGAUUGUCUUUAACCUUUAUUUAAUUACAAUAUGGUUUGGUGUGAGUCUCCUUGGAUUCAUCAUACCUGAUGUUCGAGAUUCUUAGAUCUAAAUUUCUAUUUCCUUGCCAGAAUUAUGAGGUUUUCUGACAUUAUUUCUUCAAAUAUGUUUUCUGUCCUUUUCCCUCUAUCUUCUCCAUCUGGUAAUGUAUAAAUUAUUCCCCUUUGAGGAUGUCUCAAAAGUCUCUUAAACUAUCUUCAAUCUUUUUUCUUUUUUCUCCUCACAUUACAUGAUUUCCAAUGGCCUAUCUACAAGUUUGAUAGCCCUUUCUUCUGCUUCAUCGAUUCUUCUGUUGGACACAUUAAAUUUUUGAGUCCAGUUAUUGUAUUCUUCAACUUUAUACUUUUUGUUAUCUUUUAUUUCUUUAUGAAAAUUCUCAGUUUGUUCAUGCAUUGCUCCCAUGAGACUCUUUAUGGUUGCUCUUUUUAAUUUCCUGUCAGGUUAAUCACAUAUCUUCAUUUCAUUAGGGUUGGUUUCUGAAGACUUAUCUUCUUUUAUUUAGAGUGUUUCUGUGUUUCAUUUUUCUUGACUCAAUGUGUUGAUUUCUGUGAAUUAGAUAAGAUAACCUCCUCUACCAGUCUUGUUAAACUGGCCUUCGGUAGGAGAUGUUUCUCUCCAAAUAACCCAGUGAAAGAUCUAGAUGCCUCUUUGUUCUUCUAUAACCCACUUUUACUGGCCUCCAGAGGUGAGGAUGAACUAAGUCAUAAUUUUGCCUUGAGACAGGUACUGGUCCCUCAUAAUGCAGCUGGAAGGGUUAGUGUUAUAUGUGUGUUCCAGUUGCUUCUUUCCUUUGAAGAAACUGAGAGACAAAGUUUACAUCAUACUGAUUUUGCACCACACCAAGUAGAGAAUUUGUGGUAGAUGUCUGUAAUCUCUUUGAGACUACUCAAUCUGAAACUGAGGCGAUAACUUCUGAAUGUUUCCAAGUUUGAAAAUCACCUAUUCUUGCUGGACGCGGUGGCUCAUGCCUGUAAUCCCAGCACUUUGGGAGGCUGAGGCAGGAGAAUGGCGUGAACCUGGGAGGCGGAGCUUACAGUGAACCAAGAUCGUGCCACUGCACUCCAGCCUGGGCGACAGAGCGAGACUCCAUCUCAAAAAAAAAAAAGAAAAGAAAAGAAAAUACGCUUCCCGAUUAUCUUUGAGUUAUGCAUUUCGACCAGUAUGCUACUUCACAUAAUUAUUUACUUAUUAGCACCCUUUAAAUGUCCACUCUGUUCUGGUUCUGCUGCUUCACUUUCCCUAACCCCCAAUCAGCCCAUAUCAAUCUCUUCAUUGCUAAAACAGUACAACAUCAACAGCACUGGAACACAGUAUCUAGCUACGUAAGAAAACUUACAUUUACCCUGCUGCAAAAUAUGGAGAGGAAUCCAUAAGAGCUAAGUUUCUUUUCUGUCCAGUGUGUAUGGCAUUAACUAAUCACCAUUUUCCUUUUUUCUUUUAAGUUAAUGUGUCAAACAUAGAAAUAACCUGAAGUACUAUGAAUUAUUUUUAAAAAGUUAUGUUGAUAAUUAUUUUACCUGGAAAGUAUUAGUUUGCUUUUAAAUGUUAUUCAAAGAUAUACUCCACAAGUAUAAUUUUAUUAUACCUCAAGAAUAUUUUAUAAGAACUCAUCUUAAUUUUAUAAUUAUUAACCUCUUAAAUCUGUGUAAGACAUUCUAUUUAAUGCAACUCCUUAUAAAAAUCAUAUCCCACAAAUUAUCUUUAACGACAAAAAUCUAAGUCUAGCUUGUCAAGUUUUUCUCUGUAACAUAUUCUCUUAACAAUUUGUAUCCUUGAUUACUAAUAGUCAGUUCCUGCAAAUGAACCAAUCAAUAAUCAAUUAAAAAAACCUAAAAAAAUUAAAUGAUGUCCAACAUUGUUCUCAUAAAAAUAUAUACAAAAUUAACAUACCAGUCGUCAAUGCAAUUUCAAACAAACAAUGCAAAAUUGGUAAAAUGUUUUAGUCUUUAUGUAGAUUUCAUCAAGUGUUUUGCCUUCUCCCAAGGGUUAGGAAGUUUAAAACUAAUGUUCUGGCCGGGCGCGGUGGCUCACGCCUGUAAUCCCAGCACUUUGGGAGGCUGAGGUGGGCGGAUCACCUGAGGUCAGGAGUUCAAGACCAGCCUGACCAACAUGGAGAAACCCCAUCUCUACUAAAAAAUACAAAAUUAGCUGGGUGCGGUGGCACAUGCCUGUAAUCCCAGCUACUCGGCAGGCUGAGGCAGGAGAAUAGCUUGAAUCCAGGAGGUGGAGGUUGCAGUCAGCCGAGAUCGCGCCAUUGCACUCCAACCUGGGCAACAAGAGCAAAAAUCCGUCUCAAAAAAUAAAUAAAACAUAAAUAAAAUAAAAUUAUUAAUGUUCUAACCACUGUUUACAGGGUUGUUGCACUAAUAAAUUCCACGUCCUGGACCUAAAUGAUUGCUAAAAUGUUUUGCACACAGCAGCUAAAUGUAAUCACACUAACAUGAUGCCAGAAACAACUGAUUCAUCUACAUGCAACCUCAUUUCCCUCAGAUGCCUCCAAGGCAACUGAAGUUCAUAGAUUUUGUCUAAUUACAAGUGCAGGCUCAAAUCACCUUGGAUUUGAGUUAGGAUCCACGGAUUGUUUUUUGUUUGGUUAGUUGGUUUUGUUCUGUUUUUCAAUUCAGGCAUCUUGUUCAUGGAACAUUCAUUAUUUGCUUGAGAUUGCUUUCACUGCCAGCUGCUUACUUUCUUUACCACUGUAGUAUAAUCU
ensembl:lncRNA FTX FTX transcript, XIST regulator